ensembl:lncRNA PGM5P4-AS1 PGM5P4 antisense RNA 1
GAGACACCACUACUGUUAAAUAGGCAGAGCUAAGACUUAGGGGACUGGCAGACUAUUGCAAAAAGGGCACGGGGCAGAGGGACUAUGUUGUGAGCCUGCGAAAGAAGUUUGUGUGGGGACUGUGGGCAGUGAACGCGUUGGGAACAAUAUGGAAAACUGGGAGCCGCCUUGGAAUCUACAGGGCCGGAGAGACCGAGGGGCUCACUAGGUUGACCAGGCUGGUCUUGAACUCCUGGCCUCAAGCCAUCCUCCCACCUCAGCCUCCCAAAGUGCUGGGAUUACAUGCAUGAGCCACCACAUCCAGCCUACCUAAAAUAUUGAAUGCUGUUAAUAAAUCUCCUGAGGCCAGCAUAAGAAGGUGAUGGGCAAAACUAAUGCAGGGUUUCAGUUGUGCAAUUUCACCAUUAGCAAAGCUUUUUGCUGAAAUCUGGCUUUUCAAAGGGAGAGUAUCCAGAAACAGAAGAUGCUGCUCUGAGAGGCUCUUCCUAAUAGAACUGCUGCUUCAGUUUAGCUUGAAAAAGCCCACACCGAGUUCCUAAUGACAGACAUCUGAACACCGGGUCUUCCCACGAGCAAGACCAUGCUAUGCCUCCUGCUCGCUCUGUUCUAUAAGCAACCCACAGAUUGCUCCCUGUGAAGAGGAGCCUGCCAGGGGAGCAGCAUUCCACCAGACCCUGAUUUAGCAAGAUAUUUCCGUAUCAUUCCCCCAACCAGCUGGAAGUCCUCCAUUGCUCUUGUGUAAAAAUCUAACUCAUCUCGCUGAAUUUCCUGAUUUAAAAGUCUAAUUCAUUUCACCAAAAGUGUGACAGAAGGAAACCAAGUACACCAUCUCUCUCUUACCAAACCAAAGCUAUUGCAUGUGCAUUCUGGGGGAAAAAAAUGGUCCAAAUAUGUUAUGGAGGGGGUGCCAGCCCAGUGUCAUCCUCUUACUAUUGCCAUAGGAUCUUGGCUGAUGGCAUCAGAGGAAAAACAAGUUUAUCGAUUACUUUCAACCAUUAAGCUCACUCCUCCAUGAAAAAUAAGUCACAAGUCCAAUGUCUCUUAUUAAAAUAAGCACUGCAAAAUAUAAAGGA